GCCCCCGUAGCUCAGUGGAUAGAGCAUCCCUCUCCUAAGGGGAGGUUCACACGUUCGUUUCGUGUCGGGGGCACCA
rnacentral:tRNA from 1 species